AGAGGCACAAAACUUGGUGUUUCAUCUAUUGCUAAAACAAAUGCAAGUGCCAAAAGCAGGUAAAGGCUCUUAUUACUUCCUCAAACUUAUGAGAUUCUUAUUUUCCUUAAGACCCCUCAUAAACUUAAUAGUGGGUACAUAAUUUGCGAUGCAUGUAAGCAUUCAAGAAUGUCUUCAAUUGUCGAAUAUGAGAACUUUCCCAUGGGUAGGGCGCAUAAUAUACUUGGUGAAUGAUAAGAUGAAUCCUCAAGAAAGUUCAUUUAUUUGGCUUAUUUGUAUUUGAUGCAACUAGAAACCUUUUUUUUUUUUUUUUUUUUUUUUUUUUUUUUUUUUUUUUUUUUGUAGAAACUGUAUUUUCAUAUAAUUAAGAACUUUAGUGAAAUAAUGGAUAUGAUAAACAAGUUUGAAAAGCUGAGUUUCUUAUUUGAAUGCAUGGAAUUCUCAGAUUUUAAAAUUAUUCUCAAUUUUGUUUAAUGGCAUGUCAUUUUAUGUUCAUGUGUUUCAUAUAUCAUCCAAUGAUGGGUAAACAAAAUUAAUGGGUAAGGAAGUUUAAGUGAGUAAUCAUUUUUUCUUAUUCUAGAAUUCCUAAUGCAUGUAGAAUGGUCAAGAGGAAGAGAAAUAAGAAGAAUGGUGCGGGUGGUGGUACAAUCAUGGUCCCCUGGUCCUAUGCUGAUGGAGGUUAAGAACAUUCUUCAAACUUAGUGGCAACCUUACUGGGUCAUCAACCAUGAGCUGGUGAUGACUACAAAGGAGUACACGCGAGAGGUCAUGGUUAUAGAUCCUAAAUGGCUUGUGGAAAUGGCGCCUAGAUUUUUGAAGGUGGCAGAUUCUACAAAGCUGAGCAAGUGAAAACAACAAGAAAGGAUUAAGCCACUUUAUGACAGACAUCACGAGCCGAAUUCUUGGCGUUUGAGUAAACGCCGUGCUUGAGAUGUCUCGAUGUCAUUCAUUUUGAUUAUGGGUAUAGCUGUAAAUCGGAAUGGUGUUGUUUGCAUGUUUGUCCCUUGUUAUUUGAUGUGGUGCAUUCAGCAGGAGAGAAAUACCUGGCACUUUGAGGAUUCAGAAAAAACCAUUUCAGAUCUUAAACUAUUCUUUUUAAGACUCUUUAGGACUAGGUUGUAGCGUUAGGUUUUCGUUCUUUUGUUUUAGUUCAUGGUUUAAUGGACUUUUGUACUUUAUGUGCUUGAUUUUAUUGUAAAAGGGAGUUGCUAGUUCUAUUCAGAUUAUUGUUACACUACAAGAAUUUUAUUGUAUUAUUAUUGUUACACUACAUGAACUUCAUUAUAAAAGGGAGCUGCUCGUUC